UACGUAGGGUGCGAGCGUUAAUCGGAAUUACUGGGCGUAAAGGGUGCGUAGGUGGUGAGGUAAGUCUGAUGUGAAAUCUCCGAGCUUAACUCGGAAAUGGCAUUGGAAACUACUUUGCUAGAGGGUUGGAGGGGGGACUGGAAUACUUGGUGUAGCAGUGAAAUGCGUAGAUAUCAAGUGGAACACCAGUGGCGAAGGCGAGUCCCUGGACAACUCCUGACACUGAGGCACGAAAGCUAGGGGAGCAAACAGG
rnacentral:rRNA from 1 species